rnacentral:lncRNA from 1 species
GUAAGACACAGGUGUUUAUUGAAUCCAGGCCCAGCCUGGCCUACAGCUCAGAAUGAAGGGCUCAGGGAAGACAGAGGUUAUAAAACUGCUUUAAUGGAAAGCCCCCCCCCCCUUCCCCAAUACACCAUCUGGGAUGGGGUAGAUGUGGCCAGGGCUGGCCCCAGGACAAUACUGAGCCUGUAGUCGUUACCAAAAUAUACAUCUGUCACCAUAAAAAACUGCUGCACCGCCUCAGCCCCACAGGUAUAAAAUCAUAAAUAUUUACACUCUUCCACGCCUUCCACAGAACCAGGGUGCAGGGAACCCCUCCCACAGGAACAGGCUAGGAUAGAGGCGGGCAGAAAGCUAAACUUUGGUCCAAAAUUUUGAAGGUAGAAACCCACAAGUCUCAGAGCUUUUUCUCCAGCCCUGGCCUGGGCCCACCUGCAAGUUGGUCA